GCACUGGUGGUUCAGUGGUAGAAUUCUUGCCUUCCACGCGGGAGAUCUGGGUUCGAUUCUUAGCCAAUGCA
rnacentral:tRNA from 1 species